rnacentral:rRNA from 1 species
UGGGGAAUAUUGGGCAAUGGGCGAAAGCCUGACCCAGCAACGCCGCGUGAGGGAAGAAGGUUUUCGGAUUGUAAACCUCUGUCCUUGGGGACGAAAAAAAUGACGGUACCCAAGGAGGAAGCCCCGGCUAACUACGUGCCAGCAGCCGCGGUAAUACGUAGGGGGCGAGCGUUGUCCGGAAUUACUGGGCGUAAAGGGUGCGUAGGCGGUUAUUUAAGUCAGAUGUGAAAUCCCCGGGCUCAACUCGGGUGGUGCAUUUGAAACUGGGUAACUAGUGUGCAGGAGAGGGAAGCGGAAUUCCUAGUGUAGCGGUGAAAUGCGUAGAUAUUAGGAGGAACACCAGUGGCGAAGGCGGCUUUCUGGACUGUAACUGACGCUGAGGCACGAAAGCGUGGGGAGCAAACA